rnacentral:rRNA from 1 species
CUACGGGAGGCUCCAGUGGGGAAUAUUGGACAAUGGGGGCAACCCUGAUCCAGCGAUGCCGCGUGUGUGAAGAAGGCCUGCGGGUUGUAAAGCACUUUCGGUCAGGAGGUGAGGUUAGAUAAGAUAAUGAUUUAACUGAGACGUUACUGACAGAAGAAGCACCGGCUAACUCUGUGCCAGCAGCCGCGGUAAUACAGAGGGUGCAAGCGUUAAUCGGAAUGACUGGGCGUAAAGGGCAUGUAGGCGGAUAGAUAAGUGAGCUGUGAAAUAUACUGGCUUAACCAGUAGAAGUCAGCUGAAACGGUCUGACUAGAGUACAGUAGAGGGAAGCGGAAUUUCCGGUGUAGCGGUGAAAUGCGUAGAUAUCGGAAGGAACACCAGUGGCGAAGGCGGCUUUCUGGACUGUGACUGACGCUGAGAUGCGAAAGCGUGGGUAGCGAACAGGAUUAGAUACCCGAGUAGUC